rnacentral:rRNA from 1 species
CGUGCAGGCGGUUCGGUAAGUUGGAUGUGAAAGCUCCCGGCUCAACUGGGAGAGGCCGUUCAAUACUGCCGGACUAGAGGACGGUAGAGGAAGGUAGAAUUCCCGGUGUAGUGGUGAAAUGCGUAGAUAUCGGGAGGAAUACCAGUGGCGAAGGCGGCCUUCUGGGCCGUUCCUGACGCUAAGACGCGAAAGCAUGGGUAGCGAACG